rnacentral:rRNA from 1 species
UACGGGGGGGGCAAGCGUUGUUCGGAAUUACUGGGCGUAAAGGGCCAGUAGGCGGCCAACUAAGUCGGAUGUGAAAUCCCCCGGCUCAACCGGGGAAGGGGCGCCGAUACGACCGGCCUGGAGGGGCGUAGGGGGACCGGGAACUUCCGGUGGAGCGGUGAAAUGCGUUGAGAUCGGAAGGAACGCCCGCGGCGAAAGCGCGGUCCUGGACGCCUGCUGACGCUGAGACGCGAAAGCCAGGGGAGCGAACGGG